rnacentral:rRNA from 1 species
GGGGCGAACCUGGCGGCGAGUGGCGAACGGGUGAGUAACAUAUCGGAACAUACCUAGAGUGGGGGAGUAACGUAGCGAAGUUACGCUAAUACGCAUACGCACUAAGGUGGAAAGUGGGGGAUUCGCAAGAACCUCAUGCUCAUGGAGUGGCCGAUAUCUGAUUAGCUAGUUGGUGAGGUAAAGGCUCACCAAGGCGACGAUCCUUAGCUGGUCUGAGAGGAUGAUCAGCCACACUGGAACUGAGACACGGUCCAGACUCCUACGGGAGGCAGCAGUGGGGAAUAUUGGACAAUGGGCGCAAGCCUGAUCCAGCCAUGCCGCGUGUGUGAAGAAGGCCUUCGGGUUGUAAAGCACUUUCAGCGAGGAGGAAGGGAGUUGUGUUAAUAGCACAGCUUUUUGACGUUACUCGCAGAAGAAGCACCGGCUAACUCUGUG